ensembl:snRNA U6 U6 spliceosomal RNA
UUGCUUGGGCAGCACAUGUACUAAAAUUGGAAUGACAUAGAGAAGAUUAGCAUGGCCCCUGUGCAUGGAUGAAUGCAAAUUUCUGAAGCAUUCUGUAUUUUU